UACGUAGGGUGCAAGCGUUGUCCGGAAUUAUUGGGCGUAAAGAGCUCGUAGGUGGCGGGUCACGUCGGGUGUGAAAGCCCGGGGCUUAACCCCGGGUCUGCAUUCGAUACGGGUCUGCUGGGGUCCGGCAGGGGAGACUGGAAUUCCUGGUGUAGCGGUGAAAUGCGCAGAUAUCAGGAGGAACACCGGUGGCGAAGGCGGGGUCUCUGGGCCGGUACCGACGCUGAGGAGCGAAAGCGUGGGGAGCGAACAGG
rnacentral:rRNA from 1 species